UACGUAGGGUGCGAGCGUUGUCCGGAAUUAUUGGGCGGAAAGAGCUUGUAGGCGGUUUGUCGCGUCUGCCGUGAAAAUCCGGGGCUCAACCCCGGACUUGCGGUGGGUACGGGCAGACUAGAGUGUGGUAGGGGAGACUGGAAUUCCUGGUGUAGCGGUGAAAUGCGCAGAUAUCAGGAGGAACACCGAUGGCGAAGGCAGGUCUCUGGGCCACUACUGACGCUGAGAAGCGAAAGCGUGGGGAGCGAACAGG
rnacentral:rRNA from 1 species